CCUACGGGAGGCUGCAGUGGGGAAUAUUGGACAAUGGGGGGAACCCUGAUCCAGCGACGCCGCGUGAGUGAAGAAGUAUUUCGGUAUGUAAAGCUCUAUCAGCAGGGAAGAAAGAAAUGACGGUACCUGACUAAGAAGCCCCGGCUAACUACGUGCCAGCAGCCGCGGGAAUACGUAGGGGGCAAGCGUUAUCCGGAUUUACUGGGUGUAAAGGGAGCGUAGACGGCGAUGCAAGUCUGGAGUGAAAGGCGGGGGCUCAACCCCCGGACUGCUCUGGAAACUGUACGGCUGGAGUGCAGGAGAGGUAAGUGGAAUUCCUAGUGUAGCGGUGAAAUGCGUAGAUAUUAGGAGGAACACCAGUGGCGAAGGCGGCUUACUGGACUGUAACUGACGUUGAGGCUCGAAAGCGUGGGGAGCAAACAGGAUUAGAUACCCUUGUAGUC
rnacentral:rRNA from 1 species